CCUACGGGUGACAGCAGUGAGGAAUAUUGGUCAAUGGCCGGAAGGCUGAACCAGCCAAGCCGCGUGAAGGACGAAGGUGCCAAGCAUUGUAAACUUCUUUUGUCAAGGGACAAAAUCAGGCUCGAGAGCCUGACCGCGGGUACUUGAAGAAAAAGCAUCGGCUAACUCCGUGCCAGCAGCCGCGGUAAUACGGAGGAUGCGAGCGUUAUCCGGAUUUAUUGGGUUUAAAGGGUGCGUAGGCGGAGUGUUAAGUCAGCGGUAAAAUCCCGGGGCUCAACCCCGGCGAGCCGUUGAAACUGGAUGGCUUGAGAGGUCGAGAGGUAGGCGGAAUGCGGAGUGUAGCGGUGAAAUGCUUAGAUAUUGCGCAGAACUCCGAUUGCGAAGGCAGCAUACCGGCGGAGAUCUGACGCUGAGGCACGAAAGCGUGGGUAUCGAACAGGAUUAGAUACCCUAGUAGUC
rnacentral:rRNA from 1 species